GUGAACGCUGGCGGUAGGCCUAACACAUGCAAGUCGAACGGCAGCACAGUAAGAGCUUGCUCUUACGGGUGGCGAGUGGCGGACGGGUGAGGAAUACAUCGGAAUCUACUUUUUCGUGGGGGAUAACGUAGGGAAACUUACGCUAAUACCGCAUACGACCUCGGGUGAAAGCAGGGGAUCUUCGGACCUUGCGCGAUUGAAUGAGCCGAUGUCGGAUUAGCUAGUUGGCGGGGUAAAGGCCCACCAAGGCGACGAUCCGUAGCUGGGCUGAGAGGAUGAUCAGCCACACUGGAACUGAGACACGGUCCAGACUCCUACGGGAGGCAGCAGUGGGGAAUAUUGGACAAUGGGCGCAAGCCUGAUCCAGCCAUACCGCGUGGGUGAAGAAGGCCUUCGGGUUGUAAAGCCCUUUUGUUGGGAAAGAAAAGCAGCAGGUUAAUACCCCGCUGUUCUGACGGUACCCAAAGAAUAAGCACCGGCUAACUUCGUG
rnacentral:rRNA from 1 species